AGAGUUUGAUCCUGGCUCAGAUUGAACGCUGGCGGCAGGCUUAACACAUGCAAGUCGAGCGGGGAGAUGUAGCUUGCUACAUUUCCCAGCGGCGGACGGGUGAGUAAUGCUUAGGAAUCUGCCUAUUAGUGGGGGACAACAUUCCGAAAGGAAUGCUAAUACCGCAUACGCCCUACGGGGGAAAGCAGGGGAUCUUCGGACCUUGCGCUAAUAGAUGAGCCUAAGUCAGAUUAGCUAGUUGGUGGGGUAAAGGCCUACCAAGGCGACGAUCUGUAGCGGGUCUGAGAGGAUGAUCCGCCACACUGGGACUGAGACACGGCCCAGACUCCUACGGGAGGCAGCAGUGGGGAAUAUUGGACAAUGGGCGAAAGCCUGAUCCAGCCAUGCCGCGUGUGUGAAGAAGGCCUUUUGGUUGUAAAGCACUUUAAGCGAGGAGGAGGCUACCGAGAUUAAUACUCUUGGAUAGUGGACGUUACUCGCAGAAUAAGCACCGGCUAACUCUGUGCCAGCAGCCGCGGUAAUACAGAGGGUGCGAGCGUUAAUCGGAUUUACUGGGCGUAAAGCGUGCGUAGGCGGCUUUUUAAGUCGGAUGUGAAAUCCCUGAGCUUAACUUAGGAAUUGCAUUCGAUACUGGGAAGCUAGAGUAUGGGAGAGGAUGGUAGAAUUCCAGGUGUAGCGGUGAAAUGCGUAGAGAUCUGGAGGAAUACCGAUGGCGAAGGCAGCCAUCUGGCCUAAUACUGACGCUGAGGUACGAAAGCAUGGGGAGCAAACAGGAUUAGAUACCCUGGUAGUCCAUGCCGUAAACGAUGUCUACUAGCCGUUGGGGCCUUUGAGGCUUUAGUGGCGCAGCUAACGCGAUAAGUAGACCGCCUGGGGAGUACGGUCGCAAGACUAAAACUCAAAUGAAUUGACGGGGGCCCGCACAAGCGGUGGAGCAUGUGGUUUAAUUCGAUGCAACGCGAAGAACCUUACCUGGUCUUGACAUAGUAAGAACUUUCCAGAGAUGGAUUGGUGCCUUCGGGAACUUACAUACAGGUGCUGCAUGGCUGUCGUCAGCUCGUGUCGUGAGAUGUUGGGUUAAGUCCCGCAACGAGCGCAACCCUCGUGUUUAGUUGCUAACGGUUCGGCCGAGCACUCUAAACAGACUGCCUUCGUAAGGAGGAGGAAGGUGAGGACGACGUCAAGUCAUCAUGGCCCUUAUGGCCAGGGCUACACACGUGCUACAAUGGAUAGGACAAUGAGACGCAAUACCGCGAGGUGGAGCAAAUCUAUAAACCUAUUCUCAGUUCGGAUUGUUCUCUGCAACUCGAGAACAUGAAGCUGGAAUCGCUAGUAAUCGUAGAUCAGCAUUGCUACGGUGAAUACGUUCCCGGGUCUUGUACUCACCGCCCGUCACACCAUGGGAGUUGAAUUCACCCGAAGCGGGGAAGCUAAACUGGCUACCCUCCACGGUGGGUUCAGCGACUGGGGUGAAGUCGUAACAAGGUAACCGUAA
rnacentral:rRNA from 1 species